rnacentral:lncRNA from 1 species
UGGGUUGCUUUUGUUGCCCUAUAGAUCGAGUUGGUCUCGCCAAUGUCAGAGGUGGCGCUAAGGAGGAGCUCGAUCUUUGGCAUGUGGCCACAUCCUUAUUAGGUGGACGGACCAACUCGAUACUCUACCAAUGCUGUCUUUGAUGUUAGCUGUGGUGGUACUAUGGGGAUUGGGGCAGGAUUGAUUGCUGAAGAUGAAGCUAGAGCAUGUGAAGAUC